UACGUAGGGGGCAAGCGUUAUCCGGAUUCACUGGGUGUAAAGGGAGCGUAGACGGCGACGCAAGUCUGGAGUGAAAGCCCGGGGCCCAACCCCGGGACUGCUCUGGAAACUGCGGCGCUGGAGUACGGGAGGGGCAGGCGGAAUUCCUGGUGUAGCGGUGAAAUGCGUAGAUAUCAGGAGGAACACCGGUGGCGAAGGCGGCUUACUGGACGAUGACUGACGCUGAGGCUCGAAAGCGUGGGGAGCAAACAGG
rnacentral:rRNA from 1 species